AGUGAACGCUGGCGGCGUGCCUAAUACAUGCAAGUCGAACGGAGAUUAAGUAGCUUGCUAUUUAAUCUUAGUGGCGCACGGGUGAGUAAUAUAUAGCUAAUCUGCCCUACACUAGAGGACAACAGUUGGAAACGACUGCUAAUACUCUAUACUCCUUCUAAGCAUAAGCUUAGUCGGGAAAGUUUUUCGGUGUAGGAUGAGGCUAUAUCGUAUCAGCUAGUUGGUGAGGUAAUGGCUCACCAAGGCUAUGACGCGUAACUGGUCUGAGAGGAUGAUCAGUCACACUGGAACUGAGACACGGUCCAGACUCCUACGGGAGGCAGCAGUAGGGAAUAUUGCUCAAUGGGGGAAACCCUGAAGCAGCAACGCCGCGUGGAGGAUGACACUUUUCGGAGCGUAAACUCCUUUUCUUGGGAAAGAAUUAUGACGGUA
rnacentral:rRNA from 1 species